rnacentral:ncRNA from 24 species
ACGCCGUCCCGAGCGGCGUUCGUGGCCUCGAACGGGCCUGCGAGGGGGUGGUGCCGUGUCGGCGCAGCACCACCCCCUCC